rnacentral:lncRNA from 1 species
UCAAGCAAUGCGUUUCAUUAUCUAACUUUAUACAGAAAAUAUAUAAAAUGCAGUUUAGUUAAAUUUAUUACAAAGCUUAUUGUUACAGCCAAUCUUCAAUGAGAUAGUAAGCGGCGAUGCGAAUUGUUGCAUCUGAGUACCAAACGGCAGGAAAUCUGAAAAGAAAUUUCUCUUGUCGAAAGUUAUCCGAUAGAGGACUCUUCAAUACUUAAGUC